rnacentral:rRNA from 1 species
GCGGGNNGCCUAANANUGCAAGUCGAACGAGGUGUCCCAAUGAAAAUGAAGUACUUGUACGGAAGAGGAUUUGGAUUCACACCUAGUGGCGAACGGGUGAGUAACGGGUAGGCAACCUGCCCUCAAGACGGGGAUACCAGUUGGAAACGACUGUUAAUACCGGAUAGUAUACAAUAUCGCAUGGUAAUGUAUUUAAAGGAGCUUCGGCUUCACUUGAGGAUGGGCCUGCUUUGUAUUAGAUAGUUGGUGAGGUAAUGGCUCACCAAGUCAACGAUGCAUAGCCGAACUGAGAGGUUGAACGGCCACACUGGAACUGAGACACGGUCCAGACUCCUACGGGAGGCAGCAGUUAGGGAUAUUGGGCAAUGGAGGAAACUCUGACCCAGCAAUGCCGCGUGAGUGAAGAAGUAUUUCGGUAUGUAAAACUCUGUUGUAUGGGAGGAAAGAACUAGUAGGAAAUGGCUAGGAGAUGACUGUACCAUACGAGAAAGUCACGGCUAACUACGUGCCAGCAGCCGCGGUAAUACGUAGGUGGCAAGCGUUAUCCGGAAUUAUUGGGCGUAAAGGGUGCGUAGGUGGCAUGUUAAGUCUGGUGUAAAAGGCAAUAGCUCAACUAUUGUAUGCAUUGGAAACUGGCAAGCUAGAGUGUGUGAGAGGUAAGUGGAAUUCCAAGUGUAGCGGUGGAAUGCGUAGAUAUUUGGAGGAACACCAGUGGGCGAAAGGCGGCUUACUGGCACACAACUGACACUGAGGCACGGCAGCGGGGGGAGCAAAUUGGAUUAGAUCCCCUANUAGUCCACGCCGUAAACCAAUGANCGCUAAGUG